AGAGUUUGAUCAUGGCUCAGAUUGAACGCUGGCGGCAGGCUUAACACAUGCAAGUCGAGCGGAAACGAUAGUAGCUUGCUACUAGGCGUCGAGCGGCGGACGGGUGAGUAAUACUUAGGAAUCUGCCCAGUAGUGGGGGAUAGCUCGGGGAAACUCGAAUUAAUACCGCAUACACCCUACGGGGAAAAGGGGGCGCUUGCGCUCUCGCUAUUGGAUGAGCCUAAGUCGGAUUAGCUAGUUGGUGGGGUAAAGGCCUACCAAGGCGACGAUCUGUAGCUGGUCUGAGAGGAUGAUCAGCCACACCGGGACUGAGACACGGCCCGGACUCCUACGGGAGGCAGCAGUGGGGAAUAUUGGACAAUGGGGGCAACCCUGAUCCAGUCAUGCCGCGUGUGUGAAGAAGGCCUUUUGGUUGUAAAGCACUUUAAGCAGUGAAGAAGACCUUAUGGUUAAUACCCAUAAGCGAUGACAUUAGCUGCAGAAUAAGCACCGGCUAACUUUGUGCCAGCAGCCGCGGUAAUACAGAGGGUGCAAGCGUUAAUCGGAAUUACUGGGCGUAAAGCGAGCGUAGGUGGUUUAAUAAGUCAGAUGUGAAAUCCCCGGGCUUAACCUGGGAACUGCAUCUGAUACUGUUAGGCUAGAGUAGGUGAGAGGGAGGUAGAAUUUCAGGUGUAGCGGUGAAAUGCGUAGAGAUCUGAAGGAAUACCGAUGGCGAAAGGCAGCCUCCUG
rnacentral:rRNA from 1 species